GUGGGGAAUAUUGCACAAUGGGCGAAAGCCUGAUGCAGCGACGCCGCGUGAGCGAUGAAGUAUUUCGGUACGUAAAGCUCUAUCAGCAGGGAAGAUAAUGACGGUACCUGACUAAGAAGCACCGGCUAAAUACGUGCCAGCAGCCGCGGUAAUACGUAUGGUGCAAGCGUUAUCCGGAUUUACUGGGUGUAAAGGGAGCGUAGGCGGCGUGGUAAGUCAGAAGUGAAAGCCCGGGGCUCAACCCCGGGACUGCUUUUGAAACUAUCAUGCUAGAGUGUCGGAGAGGUAAGUGGAAUUCCUAGUGUAGCGGUGAAAUGCGUAGAUAUUAGGAGGAACACCAGUGGCGAAGGCGGCUUUCUGGACUGUAACUGACACUGAGGCACGAAAGCGUGGGGAGCAAACAGGAUUAGAAACCCUGGUAGUCC
rnacentral:rRNA from 1 species